AGGGGGCUAGUCCAAAUACAAGACCUCUGAUUUCGGCUCAGACAAUCCCGGUUUAAAUCCGUGGCCCCCUU
rnacentral:tRNA from 1 species